UACGUAGGGGGCAAGCGUUGUCCGGAUUUACUGGGCGUAAAGAGCGCGCAGGCGGUCGGAUCAGUCGAAUGUGAAAGCCCCCGGCUCAACUGGGGAGGGUCAUUCGAUACUGUCCGACUCGAAGGCAGGAGAGGGAAGCGGAAUUCCCGGUGUAGUGGUGAAAUGCGUAGAGAUCGGCAGGAACACCAGUGGCGAAGGCGGCCACCUAGCCCGCACCUGACGCUGAGGCGCGACAGCGUGGGGAGCGAACUGG
rnacentral:rRNA from 1 species